UACUGUGAGUUCUUUUCUAUGGAAUAUCCAAACUAUGGAAAUCCAUAGAGACAGAAUGCAAAUUGGUGGCUGCCAGAUACUUGGGGAGGUGGGAAAAGGAGGAAGAAUGGGAGUGACUGUGAAAUAGGUACAGGGUCUCCUUCUGGGACAGUAAGAGGGUUCUGGAAAUAGAGGUGGUGGAUGCACAACACUGAAAAUGCACCGAGUAUCACUGAAUUGUUUACUUCUUGAAAAAAAACUAUUUCUUCGCUUAAUAAAACUACACAAACAAAACAAAUAUGUACAUGCACAGAUAUACGUGGGAACAAAGUCUGGGAGGAUGACGCUGAAAUAUGAGUGUUUUCCUCUGGGUGGUGAUAUCACAGCACAAUUACUGUCCAGAUACUCACACUUUUUCAAGCCAAAUUGGAAGAGAAGUAAGAUGCCAGUCAUUUGGUCUCUAAAGAUACAAAAAGUCUCUUUCCCUAAACAGAAUCUGAAGCUCAGACACAAGUAUAUGCAUCAACAGAAAUCUUCCAGGGAUAAAAACCACAUUUCUACCUAUUUUUGUUUUAUUGAGGCAGAGCCUUAUCUAAGGGUAUCUUAAGCAUGCGACAAAGCCUGUCUACACACACUCUUCGCCACGACUCCUUUUGGACAGGACCCUACUCACGGCACGGCCACCUGCCAGCAUCGUCACCCAGCUUGGAAGGUACUCCCUCCCUCAAAGAAACAAUCACAUCUCAAAGCUGCAAAAUACAAACUUCCUUUUUCUCAAAAGGUCUUAUCUUUUAGAGCGCACAUUGAAAAAUCCGAGAAUGAAGGCUGAAGCCUGACCCCCCUCUCCCAUCAACGCCUUUCAGCUGCAAUGACUCAGGCCAUGCUACUCAGCAGACCUGCGGGCUGGCUGUUCCUGCACCUGCUCAGCUGCGAACCCUGGCCCAGGACAUUCCCUCCCCUCGACCUGCGCCCGUCCUGCCUCCCAAGCACGCUUCAGGGCCCACCCUCCAGGACGUCCCCUCUGACUGUCCCGCCCCCGGGACUGACUGGCUCCUCAGAAGCAUCUUGAGGAAAACCUGAGGUUCCUUGACUGCUACUGUCUCCUUCCUUCAUGCCUAAUAACGUGCCCAUCGUACGUGGGGCUCAGGAACCACUUAACUACCAGGAGAUGCACUCCAAAUGGCCGGGCCGCCAGGGGCUGCAGAGGGCCUGGGGACCCUGGAGAGGAGUGGGGGCCCCCAACCAUGGUGGGCACUGCCGCAGAUCCUGCAGUGACGUGGGGAGACGAGCAGCAAUGCCGGGUCGGCCCGAGGGACGCAGAUCGUGGCGCAUCCACUCACAGCUGAAAUGCUACUUAACCUCUCUGAGUCUCUGGCUCCUCAUUCGCACG